CGCCGCGGUUAUACGAGGGGCCCAAAUUGACAGACGCCGGCGUAAAACGUGGCUAAUAUAAUAUUGCACUAAAGCCAAACACCUUCAAAGCUGUCAUACGCCCUCGAAGGCAGGAAGUCCCCCCACGAAAGUGGCUUUAAACCAUAUUACCCCACGAAAGCUAGGAGA
rnacentral:rRNA from 1 species